AGUGAACGCUGGCGGUAGGCCUAACACAUGCAAGUCGAACGGCAGCACAGUAAGAGCUUGCUCUUACGGGUGGCGAGUGGCGGACGGGUGAGGAAUACAUCGGAAUCUACUUUUUCGUGGGGGAUAACGUAGGGAAACUUACGCUAAUACCGCAUACGACCUACGGGUGAAAGCAGGGGAUCUUCGGACCUUGCGCGAUUGAAUGAGCCGAUGUCGGAUUAGCUAGUUGGGGGGGUAAAGGCCCACCAAGGCGACGAUCCGUAGCUGGUCUGAGAGGAUGAUCAGCCACACUGGAACUGAGACACGGUCCAGACUCCUACGAGAGGCAGCAGUGGGGAAUAUUGGACAAUGGGCGCAAGCCUGAUCCAGCCAUACCGCGUGGGUGAAGAAGGCCUUCGGGUUGUAAAGCCCUUUUGUUGGGAAAGAAAAGCAGCAGGUUAAUACCCCGCUGUUCUGACGGUACCCAAAGAAUAAGCACCGGCUAACUUCGUG
rnacentral:rRNA from 1 species